rnacentral:lncRNA from 1 species
GAUCAUGUGCCAUGAUUCAUCAUAUGUGUGAGACUUGGUCCCAGCACACCUGGUGAUUAUUUCGCGCCCGGGUUUUGGACCCCUAAAACCAGGGUGUGACAGCUUUGCCUAAGGGUCGUCAAUGGGGACUGGGGCGUAGUGCUCACUCUGCCAAGGGGGGUGCAGAGGUUCAUUCGAUUUGAUUUUGUUAGUCACCCACCUUGGGGAGGUGUACUACGUUUGUACGACUGGCGAAACCUAACGAGCAGCUAUGCACCAGGGGAGUCUUUGUAAAGGCUACGUAGUGAAACCUUACCGACUCACCUUGGUAGUGUUUGAGGGUUUGAUCGACCCGAGGCAGAAAGGGAUCAUGACUCGUGGGUAAAGUGUGCAACCUCUGCAGAGUGUUAGAAACUGGUAUAUCAGCCGAGCUCACGGUUAAGAGCAGCCUUGGGAUCCUCUUUGAUUAGAAGAACUUUGGAUACUUUUAUGGUGAUGUUUAAUGAUGAUGGUUAUAAUUAUGAUCUCUGGUAUUUCCUCUUGAAUGGAGUACAUUUGGGUAAUAACUAGGUUUAUUGCUAAAAUUUGGCUCUACGAUUAAUAAUAAAUACUUGACCAACUAAAAGCAACUACUUAACCUCAACUCCACAUACAACUAGUCCACUUUAGCCAAACGAGAAAUUUGCUGAGUACAUUGAUGUGUACUCACCCUUUCUUUAAAAACUACCUACCCCAGGUUGUCCCCACUGUAUUCAGUGCUCAGGAGGAGAUGUUGGCAACAUGGAUGAACUUUGAGGAGUUCCAGGACUACGACGAGUUCUAGUUAUGUUAGUGGCAAACCCCCAGUCAGCUGCCUGUGAAGGCUUAUCUGCUACGUUUCGUGUUCCGCACUUUGAUGAUAUUAAUGACUAUGUUACACUCUGUGGUUGUCUUGAACAUCUUGAUGUAAUAAAAGUACUUUUCCACUAUUUACUUUGAGCAAUGUGUAAUGAUGUCCAAUUAUGUAAUCGCUGUGUACGUGAGUUUCUGAUCUUGGCACGUACAUAGUUCGCAUCUAGUUUCCUUCCAAAACCGGGUGUUACAAGUAACACAUGCACAUGCAUUCAUAUAGAUUACAAUCUUGCGGACGAAGAGUGCAUGCUGAUUCCAUAGUCUGAGGGAGGACAACAGGAGGGUGACCAGACCCUGACUAAGGAGCGAGUUCCUGUUGACCCUAAUCACAAGGAGGUAAGCCCUAGUUUUUAUGCAUAUCCUGUUAUAUAUUAUUUCACUACAACUCUACUGUAGGAUUGUAUUGUGCACUUAUUUAAUAUGAGUUGCUUGAAAGCCCUAUAUGCAUGACAAUAGACCGCAAUAUGUUGAAUCACUAGUAUGAUAAGUCGUUUAGUCACAAUGCUUUAAGGAUUUUGUUAGAAGUCAAGAUUUUUCUAGCACUUGCAUGAGGCCAGGAAAGUCGAUUGUUAUCCUUUGAAAAUGGGAUUUAUGAAAUGUCUGUAGACAUAGAUCCUCGUUGAUAAUUUAUAUCAAUCGUUUGAACAUACUAAACACAUACUGAGAAAUAUGGUAAUUAGUAAGCCUAUUACCUGAUUGAACAUGG